rnacentral:rRNA from 1 species
UACGGAGGGGGCUAGCGUUGUUCGGAAUUACUGGGCGUAAAGGGCGCGUAGGCGGAUAAUUAAGUCAGGGGUGAAAUCCCGAGGCUCAACCUCGGAACUGCCUUUGAUACUGGUUGUCUAGAGUUUGGAAGAGGUAAGUGGAAUUGCGAGUGUAGAGGUGAAAUUCGUAGAUAUUCGCAAGAACACCAGUGGCGAAGGCGGCUUACUGGUCCAAUACUGACGCUGAGGCGCGAAAGCGUGGGGAGCAAACAGG